rnacentral:rRNA from 1 species
GACGAACGCUGGCGGCGUGCUUAACACAUGCAAGUCGAACGAUGAAGCUAGAGCUUGCUCUGGUGAAUUAGUGGCGAACGGGUGAGUAACACGUGAGUAACCUGCCCCGAACUCUGGGAUAACUGCUGGAAACGGUAGCUAAUACCUGAUAACAUUUUGAACCGCAUGGUUCGAAAUUGAAAGGCGGCUUCGGCUGUCACUUAUGGAUGGACCCGCGUCGCAUUAGCUAGUGGGUGAGGGAACGGCUCACCAAGGCAAAGAUGCGUAGCCGACCUGGGAGGGUGAUCGGGCACACUGGGACUGAGACACGGUCCAGACUCCUACGGGAGGAAGCAGUAGGGAAUCUUCCGCAAUGGACGAAAGUCUGACGGAGCAACGCCGCGUGAGUGAUGAAGGCUUUCGGGUCGUAAAACUCUGUUGUUAGGGAAGAACAAGUGCUAGUUGAAUAAGCUGGCACCUUGACGGUACCUAACCAGAAAGCCACGGCUAACUACGUGCCAGCAGCCGCCGUAA